rnacentral:rRNA from 1 species
AUUGAACGCUGGCGGCAGGCCUAACACAUGCAAGUCGAACGGUAACAGGAAGAAUCUUGCUUCUUUGCUGACGAGUGGCGGACGGGUGAGUAAUGUCUGUGAAACUGCCUGAUGGAGGGGGAUAACUACUGGAAACGGUAGCUAAUACCGCAUAACGUCGCAAGACCAAAGAGGGGGGCCUUCGGGCCUCUUGCCAUCGGAUGUGCCCAGAUGGGAUUAGCUAGUAGGUGGGGUAACGGCUCACCUAGGCGACGAUCCCUAGCUGGUCUGAGAGGAUGACCAGACACACUGGAACUGAGACACGGUCCAGACUCCUACGGGAGGCAGCAGUGGGGAAUAUUGCACAAUGGGCGCAAGCCUGAUGCAGCCAUGCCGCGUGUAUGAAGAAGGCCUUCGGGUUGUAAAGUACUUUCAGCGGGGAGGAAGGGAGUAAAGUUAAUACCUUGGCUCAUUGACGUUACCCGCAGAAGAAGCACCGGCUAACUCCGUG